ensembl:lncRNA
CUACAUUAGGGGGACACCCCUUUCCACUUGCGCUACAGAGAUGUGGUGUAUAUCAAAAAAUCUAUUUUGAGCCAUACAACACAGAUCUCACUUCAGAGUUUGUUUACACACAACACAACUUAUAAUCUAACAACCUGACAAGAUACAUAAUUAUGAGGACAACUGAUAAUUAGAUGACAAGCCCCGCCUAUGACAAAACUAUUAUAAGGACUAACAUGAUUUAUAAGGACAGUGUCUAUACACACACACACACACACGUCAUUAAGGUGUAUUAAAGGGUCAAACAUGAAUAACAGGAACAUGGCUAAACACAUACACACACACACACUUCAUUAAGGUGUAUUAAAGGGUCAAACAUGAAUAACAGGAACAUGGCUACACACACACACACACUUCAUUAAGGUGUAUUAAAGGGUCAAACAUGAAUAACAGGAACAUGGCUACACACACACACACACACACACACUUCAUUAAGGUGUAUUAAAGAGUCAAACAUGAAUAAAUGGAACAUGGCUAAACACAAAAGUGAAGGCAUUGUGCAUUAAAAGGACAUACCUAAUUUCUGAGAACAAAUUAUUAGACUCAGCACAUCGUACACCAGCACUAUGCAUUGCAUAGACAUCUCUCACCUGUGGGGACAUACUCCAACAGACCCAACUAUUUAAAAUAUGUAUGAUAUUUUUGUAUAGUCAUGUAAAUAUUCAACCAUACCUUUUACAACAUGCAUUCAAGGACCUGCUUUUUGUGUGAUAUGACCGUUUAUCCACAUGACCAUAUGAUCUUUUAACAGACAUGAGGACAUAUAACAGUAUGCAGUGUCAGUGAACAAGGAGCAAAAGUUUAAUAAGUGCAUAUUUAGCAUUACAGUAGUUGCCCUCCUGAUUUAUAAUGUAUAAUUUCAGAAACAAAAUUUCAGAAAUAAGUAUUAAUGAACAUUGCUGAAUGCAUAUGAACAGCUUAAACAGUUUAAAGCUUAAAACUCAAAGCUUAAAGAUUUUUAAACUUUUCCCAUACAUAUAAAC